ACGAACGCUGGCGGCGUGCUUAACCCAUGCAAGUCGCACGGAAAGGCCCUGCUUUUGUGGGGUGCUCGAGUGGCGAACGGGUGAGUAACACGUGAGUAACCUGCCCUUGACUUUGGGAUAACUUCAGGAAACUGGGGCUAAUACCGGAUAGGAGCUCCUGCUGCAUGGUGGGGGUUGGAAAGUUUCGGCGGUUGGGGAUGGACUCGCGGCUUAUCAGCUUGUUGGUGGGGUAGUGGCUUACCAAGGCUUUGACGGGUAGCCGGCCUGAGAGGGUGACCGGCCACAUUGGGACUGAGAUACGGCCCAGACUCCUACGGGAGGCAGCAGUGGGGAAUAUUGCACAAUGGGCGGAAGCCUGAUGCAGCAACGCCGCGUGCGGGAUGACGGCCUUCGAGUUGUAAACCGCUUUCGCCUGUGACGAAGCGUGAGUGACGGUAAUGGGUAAAGAAGCACCGGCUAACUACGUG
rnacentral:rRNA from 1 species